rnacentral:lncRNA from 1 species
GCUAAGACCUGAAAGGUGACCAGCUGCUGGGUAAAGAUGGUCACAUUGUAAAGAUGUGAUUACAGAUCUCUUUUUCACAGUCUUUUUCUUAGAAUUUUUGAUUGUCUCCCCUUCUCCAUCCCACUUCUUUUAUUGGUGCUUUUUUUUUUUUUGCAUCUUGAUAAUCCAGCUUCUUAGUAUCAAAUGUGUAGACUCUUUUUUAUGCAUGUUUGUUCUCUUCCCAGACACCUGACUUUGAAGCUUUUAUUCUACCAACUCCAAACUGAACUGUGCUCUUUAGACCUGGUGACAAGUUAUUGGAGUAGGUAAUUAUUCCAUGGUUUCUCCUGAUGAGCUUAAUUUUUUUCCCUGAACUCUACAUUUUUCUCUUUUUUGGUUUACUCUCCUGUUUUGCUGAAACACAUUCUUGAAUCAUUCAUACAGAGCAUAUAAGUGGGGAAUUUACUAAGUCUUUCCAUGACUUAGAGUAAUUAUUGUACUGUUUAAUUUCAUCGAUAAUUUGAGUUUUGAAUUUUUCAUUUAAACUUUCUCCCUCAGAAAUUUGAAGCUAGUGUUCCAUUGUCUUCUAGCACAAACUAUGCAUGAAGAGAAUUUGGGUACAAUAUGAUUUUUUAAAGAUAAUUUAUUUUUUUCUCCAUUUGAACCCUUUCUGGAUUUAAAGAAAACCUUUGAUAUUCUGAAAUUUCACCAUUUCGUGAUGCACUUUGUGGUGACUCAUAAAUAAUCUUCAUAUUUAAAAAAGAUUCCCUCUGAGAAUGCUGAUGUUAAAAUGUCAUUUUCUAGUAUGCAUUUUAAAAAUGUGUAAGUUUGUGUUUAUUUUUCAUAGAGAACAACUGUGGACAUGUCCAUGGACAUAUAUUUCUCAAGUGCUGGCAGUUUUAAAAUCUACAAAAGACAUUCUUUUUCUUCUUGGUAGAGUGCAACUAUUUUCUAUAUGAGCUGAGUUUUCAAAAUAUGGAGUCCAUGUGUGCAAAAUAUGCAGUUCUUCACUGAUCAGCUGCCGCAUUGAAUUAGCUGUAGUGAAAGUUUUUUUCUCUUCUUUCAAAAAUUUGGUAGGGCCUUUCUUUUAUUGCAUAUUUAUAUUCUGUGAGUUAGUUGAUGAUCUGAGGCCAAGUGACCUGUGCUAAGAUAAUGUGUGACUAGAGCCCAAAUGGGCCCACUGAGCAGGCAGGUCAGAAGCCCUGCAAGU